rnacentral:rRNA from 1 species
GGCCUUGACAUACUAAGAACUUUCCAGAGAUGGAUUGGUGCCUUCGGGAACUUAGAUACAGGUGCUGCAUGGCUGUCGUCAGCUCGUGUCGUGAGAUGUUGGGUUAAGUCCCGNAACGAGCGCAACCCUUUUCCUUAUUUGCCAGCGGGUCAUGCCGGGAACUUUAAGGAUACUGCCAGUGACAAACUGGAGGAAGGCGGGGACGACGUCAAGUCAUCAUGGCCCUACGGCCAGGGCUACACACGUGCUACAAUGGUCGGUACAAAGGGUUGCUACCUCGCGAGAGGAUGCUAAUCUCAAAAAGCCGAUCGUAGUCCGGAUCGCAGUCUGCAACUCGACUGCGUGAAGUCGGAAUCGCUAGUAAUCGCGGAUCAGAAUGCCGCGGUGAAUACGUUCCCGGGCCUUGUACACACCGCCCGUCACACCAUGGGAGUUUGUUGCACCAGAAGUAGGUAGUCUAACCGCAAGGAGGACGCUUACCACGGUGUGGCCGAUGACUGGGGUGAAGUCGUAACAAGGUAAGCGUAGAUGA